UCCAGACUCCUACGGGAGGCAGCAGUGGGGAAUAUUGCACAAUGGGGGGAACCCUGGUGCAGCGACGCCGCGUGGGUGAAGGAGCACCUCGGUGCGUAAAGCCCUCUCGGCAGGGAAGAAACAGACGGUACCUGACUAAGAAGCCCCGGCUAACUACGUGCCAGCAGCCGCGGUAAUACGUAGGGGGCAAGCGUUAUCCGGAUUCACUGGGUGUAAAGGGAGCGUAGACGGCGACGCAAGUCUGGAGUGAAAGCCCGGGGCCCAACCCCGGGACUGCUCUUGGAACUGCGUGGCUGGAGUGCAGGAGGGGCAGGCGGAAUUCCUGGUGUAGCGGUGAAAUGCGUAGAUAUCAGGAGGAACACCGGUGGCGAAGGCGGCCUGCUGGACUGCAACUGACGUUGAGGCCCGAAAGCGUGGGGAGCAAACAGGAUUAGAUACCCGAGUACA
rnacentral:rRNA from 1 species